AGAGUUUGAUCCUGGCUCAGGAUGAACGCUGGCGGCGUGCCUAAUACAUGCAAGUCGAGCGAACGGACGAGAAGCUUGCUUCUCUGAUGUUAGCGGCGGACGGGUGAGUAACACGUGGAUAACCUACCUAUAAGACUGGGAUAACUUCGGGAAACCGGAGCUAAUACCGGAUAAUAUUUUGAACCGCAUGGUUCAAAAGUGAAAGACGGUCUUGCUGUCACUUAUAGAUGGAUCCGCGCUGCAUUAGCUAGUUGGUAAGGUAACGGCUUACCAAGGCAACGAUGCAUAGCCGACCUGAGAGGGUGAUCGGCCACACUGGAACUGAGACACGGUCCAGACUCCUACGGGAGGCAGCAGUAGGGAAUCUUCCGCAAUGGGCGAAAGCCUGACGGAGCAACGCCGCGUGAGUGAUGAAGGUCUUCGGAUCGUAAAACUCUGUUAUUAGGGAAGAACAUAUGUGUAAGUAACUGUGCACAUCUUGACGGUACCUAAUCAGAAAGCCACGGCUAACUACGUGCCAGCAGCCGCGGUAAUACGUAGGUGGCAAGCGUUAUCCGGAAUUAUUGGGCGUAAAGCGCGCGUAGGCGGUUUUUUAAGUCUGAUGUGAAAGCCCACGGCUCAACCGUGGAGGGUCAUUGGAAACUGGAAAACUUGAGUGCAGAAGAGGAAAGUGGAAUUCCAUGUGUAGCGGUGAAAUGCGCAGAGAUAUGGAGGAACACCAGUGGCGAAGGCGACUUUCUGGUCUGUAACUGACGCUGAUGUGCGAAAGCGUGGGGAUCAAACAGGAUUAGAUACCCUGGUAGUCCACGCCGUAAACGAUGAGUGCUAAGUGUUAGGGGGUUUCCGCCCCUUAGUGCUGCAGCUAACGCAUUAAGCACUCCGCCUGGGGAGUACGACCGCAAGGUUGAAACUCAAAGGAAUUGACGGGGACCCGCACAAGCGGUGGAGCAUGUGGUUUAAUUCGAAGCAACGCGAAGAACCUUACCAAAUCUUGACAUCCUUUGACAACUCUAGAGAUAGAGCCUUCCCCUUCGGAGGACAAAGUGACAGGUGGUGCAUGGUUGUCGUCAGCUCGUGUCGUGAGAUGUUGGGUUAAGUCCCGCAACGAGCGCAACCCUUAAGCUUAGUUGCCAUCAUUAAGUUGGGCACUCUAAGUUGACUGCCGGUGACAAACCGGAGGAAGGUGGGGAUGACGUCAAAUCAUCAUGCCCCUUAUGAUUUGGGCUACACACGUGCUACAAUGGACAAUACAAAGGGCAGCGAAACCGCGAGGUCAAGCAAAUCCCAUAAAGUUGUUCUCAGUUCGGAUUGUAGUCUGCAACUCGACUACAUGAAGCUGGAAUCGCUAGUAAUCGUAGAUCAGCAUGCUACGGUGAAUACGUUCCCGGGUCUUGUACACACCGCCCGUCACACCACGAGAGUUUGUAACACCCGAAGCCGGUGGAGUAACCUUUUAGGAGCUAGCCGUCGAAGGUGGGACAAAUGAUUGGGGUGAAGUCGUAACAAGGUAGCCGUAUCGGAAGGUGCGGCUGGAUCACCU
rnacentral:rRNA from 1 species